rnacentral:lncRNA from 1 species
CCAAUUACCCAUUUUAUUGUUUCAUUUCUUAGCCAAACAAGAUCAAAUCCACUAAAUAACCCUAAACACCUACAAUAAAGUGCAUAAUGUUGUCUCGACUCUCGCACUCACUCUCGCAACCUAUCUAAUAUUCCAAAACCUAUACAAUCGUCGGCCGACACUCUGACCUCCGAUCGAAGCCGUGACUUUCCCCGACUGAAGCUUUGAUCG